GUCCACGCCCUAAACGAUGUCUACUAGUUGUCGGGUCUUAAUUGACUUGGUAACGCAGCUAACGCGUGAAGUAGACCGCCUGGGGAGUACGGUCGCAAGAUUAAAACUCAAAGGAAUUGACGGGGACCCGCACAAGCGGUGGAUGAUGUGGAUUAAUUCGAUGCAACGCGAAAAACCUUACCUACCCUUGACAUGGCUGGAAUCCUUGAGAGAUCAGGGAGUGCUCGAAAGAGAACCAGUACACAGGUGCUGCAUGGCU
rnacentral:rRNA from 1 species